rnacentral:rRNA from 1 species
UAGUCAUAUGCUUGUCCCAAAGAUUAAGCCAUGCAUGUUUAAGUUUAAGCACAUUAGUGUGAGACUGCGAAUGGCUCAUUAAAUCAGUUAUAAUUUACCUGAUAGUCAACCUUAUCAUUGGAUAACCGUGGUAAUUCUAGAGCUAAUACAUGCGACAAGCCUGACGCGAGGAGGGCUGUAUUUAUUGGAUACGAAACUGAUGGCAGCGAUGCCUUUGGUGAUUCACAAUAACUGUACGGAUCGUAUGGCCUUGCGCUGACGACGUUUCAUUCAAAUUUCUGCCCUAUCAACUUUCGAUGGUACGGUAGAGGCCUACCAUGGUGAUAACGGGUAACGGGGAAUUGGGGUUCUAUUCCGGAGAGGGAGCCUGAGAAAUGGCUACCACGUCCAAGGAUGGCAGCAGGCGCGCAAAUUACCCAAUGCCGACACGGCGAGGUAGUGACAGAAAAUAACGACGCGGGGCCGUGAGGCUUUGCAAUUGGAAUGUGAACAAUCUAAAUCGCUUAACGAGUAACGAUU